rnacentral:rRNA from 1 species
AUUGAACGCUGGCGGCAGGCUUAACACAUGCAAGUCGAGCGGAGAUGAGGUGCUUGCACCUUAUCUUAGCGGCGGACGGGUGAGUAAUGCUUAGGAAUCUGCCUAUUAGUGGGGGACAACAUUCCGAAAGGAAUGCUAAUACCGCAUACGCCCUACGGGGGAAAGCAGGGGAUCUUCGGACCUUGCGCUAAUAGAUGAGCCUAAGUCGGAUUAGCUAGUUGGUGGGGUAAAGGCCUACCAAGGCGACGAUCUGUAGCGGGUCUGAGAGGAUGGUCCGCCACACUGGGACUGAGACACGGCCCAGACUCCGACGGGAGGCAGCAGUGGGGAAUAUUGGACAAUGGGCGGAAGCCUGAUCCAGCCAUGCCGCGUGUGUGAAGAAGGCCUUUUGGUUGUAAAGCACUUUAAGCGAGGAGGAGGCUACUUAGAUUAAUACUCUAGGAUAGUGGACGUUACUCGCAGAAUAAGCACCGGCUAACUCUGUGCCAGCCGCCGCCGUAAAAC